CCCUUGUGCUCGAUUUGCUGUGGGACCAAAGGAAAGAAAGUAGGAAAGGGGCCAUUCUCUUUUUGCCUUCCCUCAUGUGUGUGCAUUAUGCAUGGGAUAAAAGAGAGUGCUCCUACAGAAUGGGUUGCAGUCGAUGAAAGAUGGUUGAAUUAGCUUAAACAAGCUUGUUGGAGUUCGUGUGAUGAGUUUAGGAUUUGUGACUUGCCAAGAUUCAAUAGUUGGAGGGGUGCUAAGAAUUUCCUAAGUAUACAAAGGAAAUAAUAGUAUUUUUAGAUAGA
rnacentral:lncRNA from 1 species